rnacentral:rRNA from 1 species
GACGAACGCUGGCGGCGUGCUUAACACAUGCAAGUCGAGCGGGGACAUCGUUGGAAAUCCUUCGGGGUGGAAGACGAUGUUCUAGCGGCGGACGGGUGAGUAACGCGUGAACAAUCUGUCCCAGACAGGGGGAUAACACUUGGAAACAGGUGCUAAUACCGCAUAAGACCACGAGGCCACAUGAUCUUGAGGUAAAAGGAGGAAUCCGGUUUGGGGUGAGUUCGCGUCCGAUUAGCUAGUUGGCGAGGUAACGGCCCACCAGGGCGACGAUCGGUAGCCGGACUGAGAGGUUGAUCGGCCACAUUGGGACUGAGACACGGCCCAG